GUCUGCUUCGUUCAUAUUCUCCUGAACCUGAUGAUGGAUCCAUCAGUUAUGGCGGGCUUUGGAAUGGAGUCUCUCUCUCAUUCAAUGUUCAUCUUCUUCUGCAUUUCGUGUGACGACGUUUCAGAAAUCCUACUGGAAUAAAACACAUCAACAGGUGGGAUGCGAAGGAUGCUAAAGAUAUAAAUACUAACAAGCAAAAAAACUUAUGUUCUGCAUCCAGGACCAGAAUCAUCUUAUGAACAAGGAUGGGAUAUGGGUGGACAAAAUCAGAAAAGUGAUCUUAUUGUUGAAAGUUGCAGGACGUCACCCACCAUCAAUUAAUUAUGGUUGCUGUUGUAAGAGGUAGGUUUCAAUCAAUUCCAUCCUAUUCCUUAUCUGAUCAUUUCUUUAGUUGAAGACUCAUACAUUAAGAUUAAUUUUUUAUUUUAUUUUUUCGAUCGAUGGGCUUAAUGGCGUGUGGUACAUAGAUCGAUCUCAGGACCACAGAACUGUGAUUAGACUACGUAUGUCACCUUAUAAUUAACAAUAGUUAAGAAUACCAACUAAAUAGUUAUGUUGCGACUCUGUGGACCUAACAAAUUAUAAUUAAGGAGAUUAGGAUGAUAAAGUAGUGUUGGAGAUCAUGGUCUUUCACGUUGAUGGCGGGACAGAAAAACUAUCAAGUCAUAAUAUAUAUAGAUUAGACCGUGUUUUAAGUCUAAGACAUGAAUUCAAAAUUUUGAUAUGGUUAUUUUAUCCCCCUCACAAACAAGUUUUUGAAAUUUAUCUGACUUGAUUUCCCCAUCUCAGUCAAAGUAAAGUAAUAAGUGGUCCUUAAUAUUUCUUUAAGGUGGGGAGGAGGGGAAAGAAGUUUUUUAAGCCAGCUUUAGUUUUCAAUACACAAAUGAUUGAAGCAAUAAUAGCUCAGUCCCCACAAGCUUUCCCAAAAGAAAGUCUAAAUAAAAGGAUUGAUGGACGACUAUGUGGAAAAUAUGUUGGG